CAAAUUCUGUGGAACCAAGGGCUGAAUAUGGCUCUACAAGGAGGACCACAAAUAUUGAUGCAGAUCAGGAUCAUGUGAACUUGUCCCCCAUGGUACGCCACCUCGUGGAAAACAUGACGGAAGAGCAUUGGAGAAUUGUCCGUGAGGCUCUACAUGUGCCUGGGACCAAAGAAGACGUUAGCCAGCUUUGUGCCUGCAUAGUUGCGAAAGUGGUCCGGACGACUCAUUAUUACCUGAUCCCAGCCCUUAGAAAAGUUCUGGGUGUUCCUGUCACAUACGUGAUUCCAUGUGGAACAGCA